AGCUCACAGUUUAUUCGUUUCAUUUACUGCAUAAACCCAUUUUUGCAACUUCCAGAUCUUUUGCUUCUUCAUACGUCGGAGUGCUGAAGAAGUGAUGAAGAUUCAGUGUAAUGUUUGUGAGGUUGCGGAGGCGAACGUGUUGUGCUGCGCCGAUGAGGCGGCGUUGUGUUGGUCGUGUGAUGAGAAGGUUCAUGCUGCUAAUAAGCUUGCUAGUAAACAUCAGAGAGUUCCUUUAUCUGGUUCUUCUUCAUCUAUGCCUAUGUGUGAUAUCUGCCAGGAAACAGUUGGCUACUUCUUUUGUCUUGAGGAUCGGGCAUUACUUUGCCGAAAAUGUGAUAUUGCUAUUCACACAGCUAAUCCUCAUGUUGCUGCUCACCAAAGAUUUUUGCUGACUGGAGUGAAAGUAGGACUUGAACCUGUUGAUCCUGGUGGUAUUUCAUCCUCAGGGACAUCACAGUCCAUUCAGAAGGUUUCUGAGCCAGAGUCUGCUCCACUUUCAAAACGGAAUGCCUCAGUAUCAUUGGAUGCUCAAUUUAACAAAGUGUUACCUACCCAGGUCAGUGGCAUUGAGGAUUUUGCUCCUACUAAGUCUCCGUUUGCUGGAGGUUCUGCAGCUGGAAGUAUGCCACAAUGGCAGUUCGAUGAAUUUAUUGGUCUGAGUGAUUUCAAUCAAAAUUAUGGAUACAUGGAUGAUGGAUCAUCUAAGGCGGAUAAUGGCAAACUUGGUGGAGAGUCGGACUCUUCAUCAAUCUUAAGAGUUGAAGAUGAAGAACUAGAUGGUGAUGAGUGCUUGGGUCAGGUGCCAGACACAUCUUGGGCAGUGCCACAAGUUCCUUCCCCACCUACGGCCUCUGGACUUUACUGGCCCAAAACUUACCAGAAUCCGUUCGACUCUGCAGUGUUUGUGCCUGACAUUAGUUACUCCCCUUCAUCGAGCCUUCAACAACAACCUCCAAGUGGUACUCGUCUGAAACGAAGAAGGCAGUGUUAAUGCACUUUAAGAUUCUUCGCUCACGUUUGUGAUAGGUGAUUCAGAUCCCUAAGCUGUUCGCUCAUGUUAGUGAUAGGUGUUGCAGAUCCCUAAGCUCUUCACUAAAGUUAGUGAUAGGUGUCUAGAUAGAGCGGUGUGUGGUAGUUGAAAUUUGAUUUAAAGUUGUUUCCGCAAUGAUUAUUGUGUGUUUCUCCAAUGUAAGUAACCUGCACUGUCUGCUGCAGUUACAUAGAAUGCCAAAAGUGUAUUAGUUCCACUCCAAUUCCCAGAAGUUGUACAAGAAAAUGAAUUUGUGUAAAACUGGAACCAGAGAAAAAUGACCAGUGUAUCAU
rnacentral:misc_RNA from 1 species